GAUGAAUUGAUUUAAUGCGUAGAGAGUGAAUAGUCUAUAUUUUAAGUAUUCAGAAAAUGGCAGCUAUCAUUAUGGGAAAGGCAUAUGACUGGUUAUUGUCUCUGAAGUUUCCAGAUUUAACUACUCUCUACCAUACUCCAUUGAGUGGUGACUAUUCGUCUUGACUGAACCCUGAUUUGUAUAUAGAGAGGGGCUCAGUUCAGCUCCCUCCCAGCCAAUCACCACUGCUUCCAAGAGACCACAUCCUUUCUCCAAGUCCAAUAAAAUCCAGGACUUGUGAGACACCAUUGUCUAAUUUUCAAAUCAAUAGGACAGAAGCUAGAACAUAAGCUUUAUCUGUUAGAAUAAGGUGACAUGCUUGAACUAUAAGAUCUGCUACCUUAUUUCAGGCAAAAGAAAAAUUUUGAGUGAAGAACAGGUAUAAAUGUGUCUAUCAUCAAAAGAAGUAUAGAACUGUCUCAGACAGUUGUAAAUCCAAGUGGAGAUGGUAGAUUUUUAAAUACACUCCCCAGGCCAAACAAAGAGUUUAUUUGUGUAUGGUGAGGUAUGAUUUACCAAGGAAGCGUGCUCACUGUCCUACCUGAGACAUCCUCUUGGAAGACACCUGCAGCACUGUUUUCAACGUAAAGCACCAGGUCAUUAGGGCUCCGUCAAUCAAGUGGCUGAUCCCUCCAGAUAUGGCUGGUGAAUAAAGAAGGCACUUCUCAAUUUCAGACUGAAAGUCACACUCCACCUGCUCUGAACCCUUGGGUUUUUGAGAAAACAGAAGUUAACCUCAUCUACUUCCAUGCUAAAAGGAUUUGAGACUUUAGGAAUUCUUUCACCCAAGCAGAAGCUGAUUCUUCAGUUCUUCAAAUCACAGAGUUCUAGACUGAAAACUGUUUUCAAAUUUCAGAAGAGAGGAUACCAUUAAAUAAAGACUUGUGCAUCGUAUGGAUCUGCGAUGAUUUUGAACAAAUCAUUUAAAAUAAUGUUUAU
ensembl:lncRNA